CUCGACGUCAGGGGAUCGCCGCCGAAGUCGCCAACAAUUGCCAGUUAUAACUUAAAUAAUUGUAAGUGUUUAAUCGUGUUUUUUUUUAUGUAUUUAGGAUGGUCCACAUCAACACCGCGGUGGGCUACUGGACAACGAGGUUCGCUGUCGGAGCCACCAGGAACAGUCGCCAAAAAUUGUGAAGAGGGCUUCACCGCCAUCGAAGAGGAUGCUGGACAUCGAGGAUUGUUGCUGGAGUAAGAAGAUGGUCGCAAUGGAUGUAUCAGGUAUAUGUUAUACACGUUAAGUAAUCGUGUUUUUAUUUAUAUAUUUAGGAUGGUCCAGAUCACCAUCGAAGAGGGCAACUGGAUAGUGACGCUCGCCGACCGAACCACCAGGAUGAUGGCCUUAAGUUAUCAAGAGGGUGUCAUCAUUGCCGAAGAUGACCACUGGACAACGUGGUUCGCCGUCGUAUCCACCAGGAUUAUCGCCCAAACUUGUCAAGAGGGCUCCACCACCAUCGAAGAGCAUACUGAGCAUCGAGGAUCGCCGCUGUAGCGACGAGAUUGUCGGCACGGGUAUUGAGGUUUUUUUAAAAUACGUCUAAGUGUUAAAUCACGUGUUUUGUUUUUUUAUGUAUCCGAGAGGGCUUCACCACCACCAAAGAGGACGUUGGAGCACCGAUAUCGUACCGUGGAUGUUUCAGGUACAUCAUUUACUCGUUUAAUUGUGUAUUCAUGUUUUUGUUUUGUAAUUAGGAGGGUUCCAUCACUAGACAACGAGGUUCGCCGUCGGAGCUACAAGGAUCGUCGCCCAAUAUUGUCAAGGCGCCAUCGUCGCCGAAGAGGAACAUUGGGCAGCGUGGUUCGCCGUGGGAGUCACCAGUAUUGUCACACAAAAUCGUCAGGAGGGCCGCAUCACCAUCUGAGAGGAUGCUGGACAUCGAGGAUCGCCGCUGGAGCAACGAGAUUGUCGCAAUGGAUGUUUCAGGUAUAUUUCUUUACAUGUUUAUUUGCCUAACCAUGUUUUUUUUAUGUAUUUAGGAGGGCUCCGUCGUCGCUGAAUAGGACCACCGGACGUCGUGGAGUGUCGUUGGAGCAACGGAAAUCGCCGCCCAUUCCGUCGUACACGCCCAUUCCGUCGUACACGCCCAUU